rnacentral:lncRNA from 1 species
GAAAUCCUGUCAUAUUCUUACCUCGAUUAGGGAGGCGCGUAGGGUAACUCUCGAGGUACAACUUUAGAGUUCACUUCACCCCAAACCACCACGUGAGGGUGAACUCAGCCAACACCAAGGAACGGCUAUGUUUUCAAAAUAAAAACAUGAUUUAUGCGUACAUGGCCUUUUUUUAACAGCCUUGGCGGACUCAGUUGGGAUAGGCCCAGGCUAAGGUAUCCCUGAUAAUUGAGUAUGAGAAUGAUUUUGGCACGAGCCAAGUUUUCCAGGAAAUCAUAAGCCUCGUUGUUUAUUUUGGUGAAAUGAAUCUAUUUUAUCUUAUUAAAAUGAGUUCGAAAUGUUGUGAAUCAUUUUUAUGCUAAUCUAUUUUAUCUGUCUCCAUUUACUCAACUUUAGAUAUUUUAGAUGGUAUUUGUUUACUCACUGGGAUUAUAUAAUCUCAUCACCCUCUUUUCUACCCAUUUUAGGCUCAAGAUAGUCGGUAAAUAGCUCAUUUCGUUGAGGGCUACAAUUGGACUUGAAUCCUCAAAAACUGUAAGUUUACCACUUUUGAUACUUUUGGUUGUUCGUGGGCUCACGUGUCACUAUAAAUUAAAUCUUAUGCUUUGGUUAUCAGUAUUACAGUAUGUAUGAAUUUAUUUAGCUUUUACGCUACAAAAAUUAUUUACCGGUAACUUUAUAAAUAUUGUUUUACAAGAAAAUAAAAUAUUUUAUUGAAUAUUUUUAUUAUAUUCAAAUAGUUAUAGUUUCACUUAAAAUGAAUGUUUUAGAUUUCUAAACUUAUUUUUGAUUAUGAAAUAUGUGUUUUCCACUUGCAUACUACAUUUUUAGCUGGUUUCAGAAUUUUUGAGAAAAUGACCAAAAUACCCCUGUGUAGUUGAAACUUCUCUUUGACUACUUUUGAAUUGAAAUUGGUUCAUAUCACUUUAAAACAUGAUUUUAGUAACUAAUACUCACAGGGGAAGCGAGAAAACUGAUGUUAAGCCUUGCGAGGUUUCGAUUGGCAUUUCGGGUACUGAAUGUCUAUCGGGACAUCGCAGCGGUUGUCAUGGGCUCUAUGCGAGUUCCGAGUCGUGACAGCUGUGGUCGCGUGCCAGAGGAAGUGACGGCUGACUGACAAGUAGAAUUAGCUAUAUAUGCACUUGAAUCAAUAGCGACGUAGCGUCUUGCUAUUAUAGGGUGAGUAGGUGGUGUCCAUUUUAAAAUUCUCGUAACUAUACAUAUAUGUGUUGGUUUACUUUAAACACAAAUUUAUGGAUAGCAUGAGUUGGUAGGAUGUUAGGCUUGUGAAUGCCUUGCUUUGAGAAAGGUUUUGCAUAUAUGUAUAUAUAUUAACUACAUACGUAAAGGGUUUUGAAAUCGAGAAACAAGCGUUUUACUACAGUUUAUAUCAAAAUGUGCCUUGUUGAUUUUGUGAUUUGCAUUCAUGAAUGAAUUUUAUAAUCACCAUGCUGAUUUGACAUCUAAACCUCAUGCAAAGGUUUUACAAUACAAAAGUCUUAUGAAAAGAGGUUGUAUCGUGUUACCAUGGUUGGUACUUUUGAAAUGGAUUUGAAAUAAAGUUUUGAGAACCCAACUUGAUUUUUAAAUGGUUUUAUCAAACUGGGAGAUUCGAGAGUAGGUUGAAUGUCACAUCAAUAUACUGUGACCCUUGUGCAUAAGUGAACUCUAGCUAGAGAACCUUUGGGUCACCGACGGGCUUUUAGACGUGACUAGGGCCACAAUCUGUGAUUAUACGUGGCAAGGCCACAAGAUGAUAUACGUGGCUAGGCCACUAGUGAUAUACGCGGUUGCAACCGCCUGAUUUCUCCUAUGUCGGCCAACAUCGUCGAGACUGCCAUGGUUGUGGGAUCUAGUGGAACAAAGCUCCCAGAUGUUAUUAUGUGGAAGUGGGUCCACUGGUUGUUAUUUACGAUUACCUACUCAUAGUGGCAUCUUUAUGGGUUUUCAAACUUGUAUUCUUUCGCAUGGUGAGAACUAUAAGAUUUUUUACAGCUCCCCUAUUUAUGCUAUGAUGUUGGAUUUAACUCCUCGCGUAUGAGGCGAUUUGCGAGUUUGUACAUAACCUUUGAUAAUAUUUGAUUUCACGAGAACGUGCGUGAUUAAACUGAUUUGAUUUGAGCAAAGAUGUUAAAUGAUUUGGACGGUAGAAGUCUUUCUCUUACACUGGUUUUAAUACAUUACUUGAAAUGAUUAUUUGCAACAUAACUUUUAGGUUUAAACGUAAGGCACAAAUGCGUCAUUUGAUUUUAAUUUGUUUAUACAUAUUCAUAUGUUUUAAUGUUUAAACUUAUAUGUUUUAUGCUUGUUUCCCAUCUACACCCUACUCACGAAGUUGAUAAUCACUGUGUCUGUGAGACUCACCCCCUUAUCUUCCUUUUACAGAUAAGUAAUCAGCUCAAGCACGUUGCUCAGCACAUCGAGAUUUGCUGCAAGUAGGUAAUGGCAUCUCUUAGACUUCCACUCCGAGUCACUCCGCUACAUAGAGGUCGUGUGGUGUAAAAGCGUUAGACCUAUAGAAACUAUUAGUCUAUCAAAAAUGUAAUUGCUAAAACUUUGAGGUUGUGUAAUGAAUACCACGUGUGAUGUUGAAAUUACUUUGGAGUUAUUAAGUCUAGUUAUUGGUAGCUGGAUGAUACGCCUUGAAUAUCAAUUGUUUAUCUGGUUUAAGCAAGUGAUAAUGAUAAUUACUAGUCGAU